rnacentral:rRNA from 1 species
UUUCGAUGACGCUGGCGGUGGCCUAACACAUGCAAGUCGAGCGCACCUUCGGGUGAGCGGCGGACGGGUUAGUAACGCGUGGGAACGUACCCUUCUCUAAGGAAUAGUCUCGGGAAACUGGGGGUAAUACCUUAUACGCCCUUCGGGGGAAAGAUUUAUCGGAGAAGGAUCGGCCCGCGUUAGAUUAGAUAGUUGGUGGGGUAAUGGCCUACCAAGUCUACGAUCUAUAGCUGGUUUUAGAGGAUGAUCAGCAACACUGGGACUGAGACACGGCCCAGACUCCUACGGGAGGCAGCAGUGGGGAAUCUUAGACAAUGGGCGCAAGCCUGAUCUAGCCAUGCCGCGUGAGUGAUGAAGGUCUUAGGAUCGUAAAGCUCUUUCGCUGGGGAAGAUAAUGACUGUACCCAGUAAAGAAACCCCGGCUAACUCCGUGCCAGCAGCCGCGGUAAUACGGAGGGGGUUAGCGUUGUUCGGAAUUACUGGGCGUAAAGCGUACGUAGGCGGAUUAGCAAGUAUGGGGUGAAAUCCCGGGGCUCAACCCCGGAACUGCCUCAUAAACUGCUAGUCUAGAGUUCGAGAGAGGUGAGUGGAAUUCCGAGUGUAGAGGUGAAAUUCGUAGAUAUUCGGAGGAACACCAGUGGCGAAGGCGGUUACUGCUCGAUCUGCGCUGAGGUCCAAAGUGUGGGGAGCAACAGGAUUAGAUCCUGGUAGUCACGCCUAACGAUAAAACUAGACGU